GCAUGCAUGUAGGUAGAUCUUGGAGUGCAUGGUCAUUUUGGAGCUAAAUAAGCAAUGGCAAAGGUAACUUUCGAUGUGAGGAAGUUGUGAAUCAUAUUUGGAAAUUCAAGCUUAAAUUGAGAUAUAAGUAAUCGGUUCGAGUGCAUCGCUCAGCACAUCGAG